UACAGAGGGUGCAAGCGUUGUUCGGAAUUAUUGGGCGUAAAGGGAGUGUAGGCGGUUCGUUAAGUCUUCUGUGAAAUCUACGGGCUUAGCCUGUAACGUGCAGAGGAAACUAGCGAGCUUGAGUGUCGGAGAGGAUAGGGGAAUACCCAGUGUAGAGGUGAAAUUCGUAGAUAUUUGGAGGAAUACCGGCGGCGAAGGCGGCCUUCUGGGCCAUUCUUGACACUGAGACGCGAAAGCGUGGGGAGCAAACAGG
rnacentral:rRNA from 1 species